UACGGGGGGAGCAAGCGUUGUUCGGAUUUACUGGGCGUAAAGGGCGCGUAGGCGGCCACCGCAAGUCGAUUGUGAAAUCUCCGGGCUUAACCCGGAAAGGUCAGCCGAUACUGCGGGGCUAGAGUGCAGAAGGGGCAACUGGAAUUCUCGGUGUAGCGGUGAAAUGCGUAGAUAUCGAGAGGAACACCUGCGGCGAAGGCGGGUUGCUGGGCUGACACUGACGCUGAGGCGCGAAAGCUAGGGGAGCGAACGGG
rnacentral:rRNA from 1 species